UGGGGUGUGGUCAGUUGGCAGAGUGCUUGCCUAGCAUGCAGGAGACCCUGGGUUCUAUCCCCAGCACCACAU
rnacentral:tRNA from 1 species